GUUAGUUACAAAAUAUGGUUAGAUUAUUGUUUUGAAGUGGUUAAUUUAAAAAAACUAUUAUUAAAGUUGAUAAUAGUUUUAUAUAUUAAAAGCUAUAUUUAUUAGGCAUUGGUGACCCUUAGAAUCUUGUUUUGUUUCUUUUAUUUGGUGUUUAGACCAUAUAUUAUAUAAAUCUUAUAAGAAAAAAGAUUAGAGAGGAGUUUUGAUAGCAAUAAGAAUAAUUAGGGCAUCCAUAUGGAUGAAUGGAGAUGAAUGAUGAAAAUCUCCAUUCUUAUUGGCUAAAAUUCAUAUCCAAUGGGCUUCAAGGAGGUUGCUUGAGGCCUUAUUAAGUAUUAGGAUUAUUCUUUUGAAGUCAUUUGAACUUUAAAGAUUAGAAUCAAAUAGUUAAGGUUUUUGGCUAUGAUUUUGGUACAAAUUUUGUGUGAUUUGGAGUUUUUAUAAAAAAAAUAUAGGUACUCAAAGUUAAGUUUUUGAUUUUGUACCUACUAUCACUCUUUUGAAUAUGAUGCAAGGGUAUAGAAAUCAAUGAAGGAUCGGUGACUGGAUUCGGAG
rnacentral:lncRNA from 1 species